rnacentral:misc_RNA from 1 species
UUUCCGUAGGUGAACCUGCGGAAGGAUCAUUAUUGAAUGAACUUGGUAGUGGUUGUAGCUGGCUCUCUCGGGAGCAUGUGCACACCCGCCAUCUUUAUCUUUCCACCUGUGCACUUCUUGUAGACUUUGUGAUUUGAAAACUUAUCCGGGGCAACUCGGUCGGGAGGAGCUGCUGUGGCAAUACGGCUCUCCUUGACAAGUCUUCAAAGUCUAUGUUUUUCAUAUACCCCAUAGUAUGUAACAGAAUGUAUACAAAUGAGCCUUAGUGCUUAUAAAACUUAUACAACUUUCAACAACGGAUCUCUUGGCUCUC